UAAGAUGCGGUAUGACAUUGUCAAUUUUAAAAGACGAGGUAUGAAAUUUUCGUGACCCCAAUAGUUGAGGUAGUUUUUUGUACUUUACCCAAUAAAAAAUAUAAUUGUUGUAAACAGUACAUUGACCUGUGAACAGUACUUUUUGCUACAGUCCUAAAUAGUAUUCGGUGUUAUGGUAAAAUAUUUCGUGCAAUUCUGUUUUGUGUGUGUGUGUGUGUGUGUGUGUGUUUUUUUUUUUUCCUUCUUUUUUUGUCAUUAUUAUUUCUCUUUUUCUAAAUGGAUUCAUUGAAUUGUGGUGUUGCUAUGCAUAUAUUUGGAACUAAAAUAUAGAUAAUUGAUACUGGUGUUUCUUAUACUCAUGAUCCUGCUGUAUUUGAUGAAUUGGGAAAUUAUAUUCAUCCUUAUAUUACGAUUGCCAAUGUUAAACAUUCACCACUGACAGAUGAAGGAUCUCAAAACUCCAAAGGUGAAUGGGCGUGGCAAAAGGGUUGGAGGAUUCUACAUCUUGACUAUGGAGGAUACAGAUGCUUCAGGUUCAAGUAAUCAUACAGUGCAGGGUGCCAAAGUGAGUGAUAAGCAUAGAUUUUGUUGUGAAAUCGUCGCUUGGGACAUCCAUCAUUUGUUUAUAUGAAGCACUUGUUCUUACUCUCGUUCUAUAAGUAUGGUGAGUUUGAUUUAAGUGUGAGACUUUUGAUCUAGCUAAGAGUCACCAUACUACUUUCUCGGUGAGUGGUAAAUUAAGAUGGUUGGGGUCUUGCUAAAAUUGCUUCUAAUGGAAAAAGAAGGUUUGUUACAUUA